rnacentral:lncRNA from 1 species
CCAAGGCCUGUUAGGAACACAGACUCUCUGAAUCGGAAUCUACAGCUUCAUCAGAGCCCCAGAAAUAAAAUGAAUCUCCUACUACAUUGACCUAAUCAACACACGUCUCCCGUUCCCUGUCAAGACACCAUGGAGGUGGAUGUUGUGUGAAGGUAGGAGCAGAGGUUUGAAUUUGGGAAGACUGGGUCUACAUCCUGGCUACUGGGCUCUGUGACUUCACAUACACCCUCAAGCUUUCUGACACAACAUUCUUUAUCUCUUUGAAAUACU